rnacentral:misc_RNA from 1 species
CAUUACCGAGUUCAUGCCCUUACGGGUAGAUCUCCCACCCUAUGUUAUCAUUACCUUUGUUGCUUUGGCGGGCCGCCAGGCUUCGGCUAGGCUAUCGGCUUCGGCUGGUAAGCGCCCGCCAGGGGACCCAACAUCCUGAUUAUUAGUGUCGUCUGAGUACUAUAUAAUAGUUAAAACUUUCAACAACGGAAUCUCUUGGUUCUGGCAUCGAUGAAGAACGCAGCGAAAUGCGAUAAGUAAUGUGAAUUGCACGAAUUCAGUGUAAUCAUCGAAUCUUUGAACGCACAUUGCGCCCCUUGGUAUUCCGAGGGGCAUGCCUGUUCGAGCGUCAUUACAACCCUCAAGCAUUGCUUGGUGUUGGGCUCCGCUGCUAACCUAGCGGGCCUUAAAAUCAGUGGCGGUGCCGUCGGGCCCUGAGCGUAGUAAAUCUCCUCGCUACAGGGACUCGAUAGACGCUGGCCAUCAGCCCCCUCUACUUUCUAAGUUUGACCUCGGAUCAGG